UGGCGGACGGGUGAGUAAUGUCUGGGAAACUGCCCGAUGGAGGGGGAUAACUACUGGAAACGGUAGCUAAUACCGCAUAACGUCGCAAGACCAAAGAGGGGGACCUUCGGGCCUCUUGCCAUCGGAUGUGCCCAGAUGGGAUUAGCUAGUAGGUGGGGUAAAGGCUCACCUAGGCGACGAUCCCUAGCUGGUCUGAGAGGAUGACCAGCCACACUGGAACUGAGACACGGUCCAGACUCCUACGGGAGGCAGCAUG
rnacentral:rRNA from 1 species